GACGAACCGUGCAAACGUUGUUCGGAAUCACUGGGCUUAAAGGGCGCGUAGGCGGGCAAGCAAGUCGAAGGUGAAAUCCCACGGCUCAACCGUGGAAGUGCCCCCGAUACUGCUUGUCUUGAGGGAGAUAGGGGCGUGCGGAACUUCCGGUGGAGCGGUGAAAUGCGUAGAUAUCGGAAGGAACAUCAGUGGCGAAAGCGACUUCCUGGACCAAUACUGACGCUCAUGUGCGAAAGCGUGGGGAGCAAACAGG
rnacentral:rRNA from 1 species